UACGGNCCGGCUUGAGUGCGGUAGGGGAGACUGGAACUCCUGGUGUAGCGGUGGAAUGCGCAGAUAUCAGGAAGAACACCGGUGGCGAAGGCGGGUCUCUGGGCCGUUACUGACGCUGAGGAGCGAAAGCGUGGGGAGCGAACAGGAUUAGAUACCCUGGUAGUCCACGCCGUAAACGUUGGGCACUAGGUGUGGGGGGCCUUUUCCGGGUCUUCCGCGCCGUAGCUAACGCAUUAAGUGCCCCGCCUGGGGAGUACGGCCGCAAGGCUAAAACUCAAAGGAAUUGACGGGGGCCCGCACAAGCGGCGGAGCAUGCGGAUUAAUUCGAUGCAACGCGAAGAACCUUACCAAGGCUUGACAUGUGCCGGUCUGCUCCGGAGACGGGGUUUCCUCCCUUGUGGGGGCUGGUUCACAGGUGGUGCAUGGUUGUCGUCAGCUCGUGUCGUGAGAUGUUGGGUUAAGUCCCGCAACGAGCGCAACCCUUGUCUCGUGUUGCCAGCACGUUGUGGUGGGGACUCGCGGGAGACUGCCGGGGUCAACUCGGAGGAAGGUGGGGAUGACGUCAAAUCAUCAUGCCCCUUAUGUCUUGGGCUUCACGCAUGCUACAAUGGCCGGUACAGAGGGCUGCGAUACCGUGAGGUGGAGCGAAUCCCUUAAAGCCGGUCUCAGUUCGGAUCGGUGUCUGCAACUCGACACCGUGAAGUUGGAGUCGCUAGUAAUCGCAGAUCAGCAACGCUGCGGUGAAUACGUUCUCGGGCCUUGUACACACCGCCCGUCACGUCAUGAAAGUCGGCAAC
rnacentral:rRNA from 1 species